rnacentral:lncRNA from 1 species
UCGAAUUAUAUUUUGAUAAGAUAAUAAUCUUCUUCGUGUGGUGGCAAAAUUCUGCAUCACAAGUUGAAUUAUUGUUCCAUUUAAGUAAAUAGGAUGGAUGAAAUGAAAAGGUGAUACCAAAGUGUUAUGUGAUAGAAGGAUAAUUAGUAAAUUGAAAGGCAAGUUCUAUAGAACGGUUUAAAGAUUAAUUAUGCGAGGUAAAAAUUCAGAUGCUCUAAUAAAUAUGCGAGCAAUCAAGAUUAAAAACGACGCCCUUAAACAAAAGACGUAAAUAAACACACAGUGAAUAAAAUGAAAAGUCGUUUAAGAUGAUUUGAUCAUGUCUUGCGUUAUUCAGAUACACCAAACUGUAUGUGAAGCCAUGAUGAACCAAGAGGCAAUGGAUUCACAUGAUCACUUUGACCAACAAAAAAGAAUUGUCUCUUGCAACUUGCACCAGCUAUUAUACAAUAUUCGUUAAUAUCUGCAGAAAUAAAAAAAUGAUUGAUACAAUAAUAGUUCAUUUCACACCCUUUUUUCUCAUAAACAAUACUGUAGUUCAUUUCACACCUUGAGGCUCCUUUAAAUUAAAGAAAAAGAUAGGGUAAGGUGGGGUCUACUUUCUCAUCACUUGCUUUGAGUUUUGACUCUUUCCCAAUGCUUUCAUCAUACUGCAAUCUUCAAUGGAAGAAUGUUGUGUUUUCACCGAAUAAAGGAAACCAGCGAAAGAAAAAAAAAAAAGGGGGGGG